rnacentral:lncRNA from 1 species
UUUUUAUUAAUUAUUGAUACUAAGUGCCCAAUUAAUUUUCAGCAUCAAUUAUGCUAUCAAAUGUUGCAUUAAUAACAUCAAUAUUAUUUCAGGGCCUUUUUCACGUUCUGCUGUGAACUACAAUGCUGGAUGCAAGACUGCAGCAUCAAAUAUUGUAAUGUCAAUUGCAGUGAUGGUGACAUUGUUAUGCUUAACACCUUUGUUCCAUUACACUCCUCUAGUGGUUCUAUCAGCCAUAAUUGUAUCUGCAAUGCUUGGCCUCAUAGAUUAUGAAGCUGCCAUCCAUCUUUGGAAGAUUGACAAAUUUGACUUUGUGAUUUGCAUCAGUGCAUAUAUUGGUGUGGUCUUUGGCAGUGUUGAAAUUGGCUUAAUCGUUGCAGUAUGUAUAAAUCUGAAUUUAAUAUGUCAGUUUUUGCUUUUAUUAUAAAGGUUUAUGAAACUAAUAUGUACUUUUCUUUGCAUAUUCAGGUUGCAUUAUCUUUACUUAGGAUACUUUUAUUUAUUGCAAGGCCAAGGACAUUUGUUUUGGGAAACAUUCCAAAUUCUGUGAUAUACAGAAAUGUUGAGCAAUAUCCAAAUGCAAAUCAUGUUCCUGGAAUUCUAAUUCUAAAGAUUGAUGCACCAAUUUACUUUGCCAAUGCAAGCUAUUUAAGAGAAAGGUAAUUAAGCUACCUGAAUUUUUGAGUUUUACUCUUGCAUGCAAACAAUCCUAACAGUGAAGUGGAAAUAGGAUUACAAGGUGGAUUGAUGAAGAGGAAGACAGAAUUAAAGCUACAGGGGAAACAAGUUUGCAAUAUGUUAUAAUGGAUAUGACUGGUAAGUGAUGGAUCUGUAAAACAAAGUAACUUGCAAACUGGUUAUUAGAAUUUACAUUCUAACUUUCAAUGUAAUUUUAUUGGCAGCUGUUGGGAACAUUGAUACAAGUGGAAUCAGCAUGCUUGAAGAGGUCAAAAAGAUUGCAGACAGAAGAGAGCUACAAGUAGUUUUUCUAUCAAUGUUAUCUGUUAAAAUGAACUUCCAUACGCAUGAUUUAUGAAUUAUGAUAAAAUGCAAUGGUAUGGUUUGAUCCAUGUAGCCGAUAGCCGAUAGCCGACCUUAACUAGUGAAAAAAGGCUUUGAUUGUUAUAAAAGCUAAUUAUGUACUUAGAUUUUCUUAUAGCCAGUUCAAUUUAACAAUGCUUGAUUUGUUCUGUUCAUUUCUAAAACUUUCCUUCCUACUUGUGCAGCUUGUUUUGGUCAAUCCUGGAAGUGAGGUGAUGAAGAAACUGAACAAAUCCAAAUUCCAAAUGGAUUUAGGGCAGAAGUGGUUCUAUCUGACAGUUGCAGAGGCUGUUGGAGCAUGCAACUAUAUGCUGCACGCAUGCAAACCAAAUUCUGUGAAAGAUGAACAAGAGGGUUGGAACAAUGUCUAAGUCAUAUUUCAAGGCAUGUUUUCAAGAUCUCUUGCAAAGCUUGGUCGUUUUAGUCUCAGCAAAAUUACCAUCACAAUAUGUAUAUGUUUCAUGAGAGUUUGUGAAUCAUGUUGUACAAGAUUUCGGGUCAUAGGAAAAUGAAAGAUGCAUGUAUGUUUUAAUGUCUGAAACAUGCAUCCUGAGUUGGAACUAAAUCUUCUACAUAGUCUGUUGAAUAUUAUGUAUUGCGCUUGAUAAAUUAAUCAAAUGGAAAGUAAAUGCUACGAGAAUUCAAAUUGUUCCUUAUGAAAUUUCCGAGAACUAGACCAAAUUAAAGUGGCAUGCUAAUUAUAAGUUCUUAGCCUUAUUCAAUAACAUGCAUAUCCUUCGGCAAAAUUACUCAAUAAAGCUCAUCUAAAAUAAACUUUCCUAUUGCAUCACCUUGCUAUGGGAGGAGACAAUGUAAUGCACUAAAGAGGAAUAAUAAUACCAAAUAAAGACUAUGUUCCUUUAAAGCACAAAAAAAUGAUUCAUAACUGAUAAUUUUACAGUUUUACACUAGAUUAAAGUAGGAGACUAUUUUAUAUUUUUAAAAAAACUCAUCUUUAAUCCUAAUAAUUAAUUUAGGGGGAAAUACAGCGCAAUCUUGAGUUGAUGCUUUUAAUAUUGAAUCAAACUUUUUAAUAUUUUUAGAAUGAACUUUACAUUUUAUCUCCUUUAAAUAUAGGACAACUGUGUACUCAUUUUAGGUCUCUUAAAUAAUUGGGUAGUUAGUGACUUAGUAUUCAGUAAAAAAGGUGAUAAACCACUCAUUAAAAGUCAUUAAACAUGUAAAUGUAUUUAUUUUCUUAUACAGUAUAAUUGAACUACAAAACAGUCUGAGUCCACAGCAAGAGGUCUACUAUAUAUUUAUAUUAGCUACCACAGGACUAGCUUUGUUCACUCCAUAUGUAGCAUAUCCCGUAAUAGGAAAGGCUCCACUGCAUCCCCAAAGUUGGAGGUUCGAUUCUUGAGAGUGACACUUGUUAGGAGGGGCAGUCAUGAAUUCUGAGAGAGAUUAGUUCCUUACCCAAAAAUGUAAGGGAUACCCUUGGUAGUAUCAAAAAAAAUAUUCCAUAAUAGGAAAUAGUGAAUGAUCCUCUUCUUAUGCUCAAUGGAUGUGAACUUCUCUAGAAAUCAAAUAUGGCAAAAAAGAUUACCAAGAACUUCAAGAAAUGCAUUUCUUGCAUUUUAGGCUGAAGAAAGGAUUCUUAAGACAAGCAAAAACACAAACAAAAGAUAAAGAUAAGUGCAUGUUACCAAAAUGCUAAAGAAAGCAAUAAACAAAACAUGAAUCAUUCAUCUAAACCAGAGAUAAAAAAAAGAGGCAGGGGAUUAUUCAGAGUUGGAAGGGGAAAAAAGAAAUGAAGUUCAUCCUAGCCUCUUCUGAUUAAAUGAGGCACAAAAUGUACAGCAUCAAAAUAUGUAAAAUCUUGAACCAUCUAUAGAAAGGAAAAUUUACAGACAAGAAAGCUAAUGUCUGACUUGUCUCAUGCACCUUCUAAACUAUGCUAACAAUCGGCCAAUAAAAGUUUGGCAACUCAAUCUCUAUGGGUGAGAGGUUCCACACAUGCACAAAAGGUUGCUCUCUUCUUCUGGUUGUUGGUUCUAGUCCCACCAUAGAGAUAAUCUCGUAAAAGAACUCUUGGACUUCGAUGAUCAGCAACUUUUGUUUUUUCUUUGCUUUCUUUUCUACCAUCCAGUUUCAGAAGCAGAAACUGCAGUCUUUGCACCUCCAACUGCAGCCUUCCUAUUUUUUCUGACCCUCUUCGCGCAUGCUCCAUUACUCUCCUUUUGCUGACACUUCCAAUCUCCCCGGACUCGAACACUGCCUUCUCGUCGAAAGACAUGAUACUAUCUUCCACAUUCUUCUUUAACUUUUGGUUGCCAUCAAACAACUUUGUGAUGGUUUCCUGAGCAGCUUCAAUCUGAUCUUUCACAGAAUUGUACUCAACACCUUUUCCCUUUUUGCUAGUUCCCAUAAUUUCCACCUUCUUCACCAAAUCCAGUAUGGUUAUUUGAAUGUUUGUUAGCUUUUGUGCAUCAGAAUCAAGUCUUUCUAAAACUUUGCUCUUGUUUCCCACUUCAUGUGGUUGUCCAAACAAAAGAGAACAACAAGAGUAACCACAUAAUCAUUGUUCUUAACGAAAUAAGAAUAUUCUUAUUCUGUUCUCGAUUGUGUUAUUCUUAUUUUCUGAUUUUUGUUAUUAAAUAAGAACAAUUCUUGGUUGUUCUCAGCCAAGGGAAAGUAAAGAGAAAAAAAGGUAAAUAUUAUGAUGCUCAAAUAAAAAUAAAUAAGAAUGAUGUUUAUCGUUGUGAAAAAAAAUUAUUAAGUUAUAUAGAAUAAUGUGACACUAAAAAAGAAUGAAGAUUAUGGUGGAGAUGCUCUAAUUUUCAUCCUAUUCUUUCCAUUUAACCCUCCCUCUGUCAUUUCAUCCCACUAUUCCCAGAUUUCUACACAUUAGCAUUAGCAUGUCACAUAUUAUUUUCCUAAUUGAAAAGGAUGAAAAGUGAGAGAUAGGAAUUGAGAAGAAAAAAAGAAAAAAUAAUUAAAAUAUAAUGGACUACUGGCCUCAAUUCAUAUAAUAGAGUGGCCACAAUAUUUGAAUACAAUUUCUUAAGAAUUGAUGAUAUUGUGCAGGAAGGAAUAGCAGUUGGAAGAAGCUUUGCAAUGUUCAAAAAUUACCAUAUUGAUGGAAACAAAGAGAUGAUAGCUAUUGGCACCAUGAAUAUUGUUGGUUCUUUCACCUCAUGCUACCUCACCACAGGUAAAGUUUUUAUUAAUUAUUGAUACUAAGUGCCCAAUUAAUUUUCAGCAUCAAUUAUGCUAUCAAAUGUUGCAUUAAUAACAUCAAUAUUAUUUCAGGGCCUUUUUCACGUUCUGCUGUGAACUACAAUGCUGGAUGCAAGACUGCAGCAUCAAAUAUUGUAAUGUCAAUUGCAGUGAUGGUGACAUUGUUAUGCUUAACACCUUUGUUCCAUUACACUCCUCUAGUGGUUCUAUCAGCCAUAAUUGUAUCUGCAAUGCUUGGCCUCAUAGAUUAUGAAGCUGCCAUCCAUCUUUGGAAGAUUGACAAAUUUGACUUUGUGAUUUGCAUCAGUGCAUAUAUUGGUGUGGUCUUUGGCAGUGUUGAAAUUGGCUUAAUCGUUGCAGUAUGUAUAAAUCUGAAUUUAAUAUGUCAGUUUUUGCUUUUAUUAUAAAGGUUUAUGAAACUAAUAUGUACUUUUCUUUGCAUAUUCAGG